rnacentral:tRNA from 1 species
GCCCACAUAGCUCAGCAGGUAGAGCACAUCCAUGGUAAGGAUGGGGUCACCAGUUCAAUUCUGGUUGUGGGCUCCA